AGCGAAGGUCGCCAGUUCGAUUCCUACUGUGGUCAAGCUAACUUUUCAGCUUGCCCGCUGUGGAUACACUCAGAGUAACAUCAUCUUAAAUAAAUUAGGUAUAUACACGUAGCCUAUAAGAUGCCCUAGCUAUAUUGAGUCAAAGUCGUUCUAAAUGCAGGAACGUCUUAGACUAUAUAUAUAUAUAGGCAUGACUGGCCAGUUAUAUAUUUCAGGCAAGGGAUUAAUGCUCUGUUACUGCAAUUACAGUACUGUGGCUGACUAAAAAGUGUUAGUAUGGUUUCGAAACAAGUAUUAAUCAAG